UACGAAGGGAGCUAGCGUUGUUCGGAAUUACUGGGCGUAAAGGGCGCGUAGGCGGUUUGAUAAGUUGGGUGUGAAAGCCCAGGGCUCAACCCUGGAACUGCACUCAAGACUAUCUUACUUGAAUUCGGUAGAGGAUGGUGGAAUUCCCAGUGUAGAGGUGAAAUUCGUAGAUAUUGGGAAGAAUAUCCGUGGCGAAGGCGGCCAUCUGGACCGACAUUGACGCUGAGGCGCGAAAGCGUGGGGAUCAAACAGG
rnacentral:rRNA from 1 species